AACGAACGCUGGCGGCAUGCCUAACACAUGCAAGUCGAACGAGACCUUCGGGUCUAGUGGCGCACGGGUGCGUAACGCGUGGGAACCUGCCCUUAGGUUCGGAAUAACUCCCCGAAAGGGGUGCUAAUACCGGAUAAUGUCUUCGGACCAAAGAUUUAUCGCCUUUUGAUGGGCCCGCGUUGGAUUAGCUAGUUGGUAGGGUAAAAGCCUACCAAGGCGACGAUCCAUAGCUGGUCUGAGAGGAUGAUCAGCCACACUGGGACUGAGACACGGCCCAGACUCCUACGGGAAGAAGCAGUGGGGAAUAUUGGACAAUGGGCGAAAGCCUGAUCCAGCAAUGCCGCGUGAGUGAUGAAGGCCUUAGGGUUGUAAAGCUCUUUUAACCGGGAUGAUAAUGACAGUACCGGGAGAAUAAGCGCCGGCUAACUACGUG
rnacentral:rRNA from 1 species